AAUAAAAGCAACACAAAAAUAAAAUUUAAUAUACCCUCAACAAAAAAAGCCAAGUAACAAAAGCAUAAAACAAUAAUACUGAAAAGGAAAAACCAAACACUAAAUAAGCCGACUUAAAACGUCGUACCUUGUGUAUCAUAGACUAUCAAAAUAGAAUUUAUAAAAAAUAUUCCCGAAAGUAAACGAGCUAGGCCUAUUCCGCGAAGAACCAAAACAUAAAUGUUAAAAAAUUUAUAAAAGAAAUAAACCUAGAAGUAAAAUGCUACCCGCGUUUACAGAUAGCUGGUUAUUUCUAAAAAGUAUAAUAGUACUACCUCAAAAAAUGAGAACGAUUGACUUCAGGACAAGCUGAAGUCAAAAAAAGAAAUGUAAUAAAAAACGCAAAAAUCCUUCUAAGCUUUAAAGUAGCCAAGAAAAAAAACUUCCCUCAAAAUAAAUUAAAUAAACAAAUCAUACUGUCUAAAACAAUCAGAAUUUAUAAGAAAUAAUAAAGAUAAACAUAAUACCUUUAAAAAAAAUGAAUAGUAUAAAUACUCUUAAAAUAACUGCAAUAAAAACUUAAAUAAAAUAAAUAAAAGAACUCAGCAAAACCAAAGCAACGACUGUUUAAUAAAAACAUAGCUUUUUGCAAAACCAUAAAAAGUAACGUCUGCCCAGUGACUGAGGAGUUCAACGGCCGCUUCAUUUGUGCUAAGGUAGCAUAAUCAUUUGUCUUUUCAUUAGAGACCAGCAUGAAUGGCAUAACGAAGCUUUACUGUCUCUAUUUAUUAAAAGAAAAUUGAUAAAAAAGUGAAAAUACUUUUAUAUUAAUGAAGGACAGAAAGACCCUAUAGAGCUUUAAUACAAUCAAGGAAAAAAAUUUUCAAAACAUAAAAACCACCACAAUUACUUGAAUAUUUUUAUUGGGGCAAUAAAAUAAAAAUUAAACACUAAAAUUUGUCAUAACAAACAAAAUAAACCUCAAAGAGAACACAUAUAAGCUACCUUAGGGAUAACAGCGUUAUCUUACCAAAGAGACCUAAUCGAAGGUAAGGUUUGCGACCUCGAUGUUGGACUAAGAAAACAAAAAGAUGCAGAAGUCUUUAAUAGUUGGCCUGUUCGGCCAAUAAUAUCUUACAUGAUCUGAGUUUAGGUCGGCGCAAGCUAGUCCGGUUCUUAUCCUCAUUAAAACAAAAACAAACUUUAUUCACAUUACGAAAGGAACUAAAUAAAGAGUUAUACUCAAAUAACAAUAAAAAAUAACAACAAAACUCAAUAA
rnacentral:rRNA from 1 species